UACGUAGGGUGCGAGCGUUAAUCGGAAUUACUGGGCGUAAAGCGUGCGCAGGCGGUUGUACAAGUCAGGUGUGAAAUCCCCGGGCUUAACCUGGGAACUGCACUUGUGACUGUACGACUGGAGUACGGCAGAGGGGGAUGGAAUUCCGCGUGUAGCAGUGAAAUGCGUAGAUAUGCGGAGGAACACCGAUGGCGAAGGCGGCGGCCUGGGUUGACACUGACGCUGAGGCGCGAAAGCGUGGGGAGCAAACAGG
rnacentral:rRNA from 1 species